AUGGCCACCCUCACCCGCCUCCACCUCAGGCUCUGGAAGUUCCCCGACACGGCCGGCCUCCCGCCCGGCCCCGGCGUCUCUUUCCCCAACCUCCGUGAGCUCGGGCUCUGCAGCGUCCUCAUGGAGACCAGGGAUCUGGACUUCAUGCUCGACAGCAGCCCCGUGCUGGAGACGCUUUUCAUCGAAGGGAAUCUGUUCACGCUCCGGCUCCGGCUUGUCAGCCAAAGCCUCCGGUGCGUGCAGAUCAUCGGCUCCUUCUUGGAGGAGAUCUUCGUGGUGAACGCCCCACGCCUUGAGCGCCUCAUCAACUUGGAAGGUUGGACCCCUCAUGGCGGCUGCACCAAGGUCAAGAUUGGCCAUGCCCCCAAGCUGCAAUUGCUGGCAUACCUGCAGUUGGACGCAGGGAAUCAUGUUCUGGAGGUCGGCAACACCAUCAUCAAGGCUGGGACAAGGGUGAGCCCAAGAACCAUGGUAUCAAGUGUGACAGUCCUGGCUUUGGAUGUCCGUUUCGGAGUACGCAAUGAUGCCAAGAUGAUUCCCAGUCUCCUCCGAUGUUUUCCUAAUGUCGAGACGCUCCACAUCAAGUCUGGAAAGUGCGAUCUAUCCACUGGCAAGCUCAACCUAAAGUUCUGGCAUGACUCUGGUACCGUAGAAUGCGUCCGGUCGUGCGUCAAGCGGCUGAUUUUCCAUGAUUUCCGAGGGGACCGAAGUGAGCUCGCCUUCCUCAAAUACUUCGUCGAGACUGCAUCAGUGCUCAAGCAGGUGGUGAUCCUGUUGUCCGCUGGCUCCACUUCGGCGGAGGAGGUGCAUUCCAAAGUGGCGAAGUUUAAACGGGCAGGUGAAAUCUCCGUUGCGCUGGUCACCGGCUGUUCUGAUCUUCAAGGACGGUACAAGCGAGGGUCUGAAUUUCCUCUUGGCGACUUCUUUUUCCUUUUGAAAUUCCCUUCUGCAAACUACUGA
rnacentral:rRNA from 1 species